rnacentral:rRNA from 1 species
UGGCGAACGGGUGAGUAACGCGUGAGGAACCUGCCUCAAAGAGGGGGACAACAGUUGGAAACGACUGCUAAUACCGCAUAAGCCCACGGGUCGGCAUCGACCUGAGGGAAAAGGAGCAAUCCGCUUUGAGAUGGCCUCGCGUCCGAUUAGCUAGUUGGUGAGGUAACGGCCCACCAAGGCGACGAUCGGUAGCCGGACUGAGGGGUUGAACGGCCACAUUGGGACUGAGACACGGCCCAG